rnacentral:tRNA from 1 species
GUAGCUUAGCAAAGCCUCCCGCUUACACCGAGAAAACAUCUGUUAAACCCGGAUCAUCUUGAG